AGGACUAACGCUGGCGGCGUGCCUAACACAUGCAAGUCGAACGAGAGUAGCAAUACUCUAGUGGCAGACGGGUGAGUAACACGUGGUCAACCUACCUCUAUGUGGGGGAUAACUAGCCGAAAGGUUAGCUAAUACCGCAUACGAUCGUCGAGCGGCAUCGCUUGACGAUGAAAGGAGCAAUCCGCAGAGAGACGGGACCGCGUCCCAUUAGCUAGUUGGUGGGGUAAUGGCCUACCAAGGCGACGAUGGGUAGCUGGCUUGAGAGAGCGACCAGCCACACUGGGACUGAGACACGGCCCAGACUCCUACGGGAGGCAGCAGUGAGGAAUUUUCCGCAAUGGGCGAAAGCCUGACGGAGCGACGCCGCGUGUGGGAAGAAGGCCUUCGGGUCGUAAACCACUGUCGAAGGGGAAGAUAUUGACGGUACCCUUGGAGGAAGCCCGGCUAACUACGUGCCAGCAGCCGCGGUAA
rnacentral:rRNA from 1 species